rnacentral:ncRNA from 1 species
CAAAAAACGUUGAAGAGGAAAAGUAUGCGGCAGAUGCCUUUCAGAGAGAACCGCCGUCCGGCUGAGAGCGGUUCAGGCCCCUGUGUCCGCAGAAGUGCCCCUCGGAGUCUGCCGCUGAACGUUUCAGUAAGCGGCGGCGGGUCCGCCCGUUAACAGGUCAAGUUGGGAAAGCAGCUAUACUGUUUUUCAAACAGAGUGGAACCGCGUUUUAAAACGUCUCUGUC